GACGAACGCUGGCGGCGUGCCUAAUACAUGCAAGUCGAACGAAGCUGUUUUAACUGGUGCUUGCACCGACUUAAACAACUGAGUGGCGAACGGGUGAGUAACACGUGGGUAACCUGCCCCAAAGCGGGGGAUAACAUUUGGAAACAGAUGCUAAUACCGCAUAAUCACAGAAACCACAUGGUUUCUGUGUCAAAGAUGGUUUCGGCUAUCACUUGUGGAUGGAUCCGCGGCGGCUUUGCUAGUUGGUAAUGUAAUGGCUUACCAAGGCAAUGAUACGUAGCCGAACUGAGAGAUUGAUCGGCCACAUUGGGAAUGAGACACGGCCCAAACUCCUACGGGAGGCAGCAGUAGGGAAUCUUCCACAAUGGACGAAAGUCUGAUGGAGCAACGCCGCGGGAGUGAAGAAGGUCUUCGGAUCGUAAAACUCUGUUGUCAGAGAAGAACGUGUGCGAGAGUAACUGUUCGUGCAGUGACGGUAUCUGGCCAGAAAGCCACGGCUAACUACGUGCCAGCCGCCGCAGUAA
rnacentral:rRNA from 1 species